AGGCGGGUAACAGAGAGAAGCUUCGCUUCUUUGCUGACGAGCGGCGGACGGGUGAGUAAUACUUGGGAACUUGCCUCUAGGCGGGGGACAACCACUGGAAACGGUGGCUAAUACCGCAUAAUGUCUACGGACCAAAGUGGGGGACCUUCGGGCCUCACACCUAGAGAUGGGCCCAAGUGGGAUUAGCUAGUUGGUGAGGUAAAGGCUCACCAAGGCGACGAUCCCUAGCUGUUCUGAGAGGAUGAUCAGCCACACUGGGACUGAGACACGGCCCAGACUCCUACGGGAGGCAGCAGUGGGGAAUAUUGCACAAUGGGCGCAAGCCUGAUGCAGCCAUGCCGCGUGUGUGAAGAAGGCCUUCGGGUUGUAAAGCACUUUCAGUGGUGAGGAAGGUCAGUAAGUUAAUAGCUUGCUGAAUUGACGUUAGCCACAGAAGAAGCACCGGCUAACUCCGUGCCAGCAGCCGCGGUAAUACGGAGGGUGCAAGCGUUAAUCGGAAUUACUGGGCGUAAAGCGUACGUAGGCGGUGUGUUAAGCAAGAUGUGAAAAGCCCCGGGCUCAACCUGGGAAUUGCAUUUUGAACUGGCACGCUAGAGUCCUGAAGAGGGGUGGGUAGAUUUUCCAGUGUAGCGGGUGAAAAUGCGUAGAUAUUGAAAGAAUUACAAGUGGCCGAGGGCGGCCCACCUGGUUCAGAGAACUGACGCUGAAGGUACGAAAGCGGUGGGGGAGCAAACCAGGAUAAGAAUACCCCUGGUUAGUCCCACCGCCCGUAAAACGAUUGUCAACUUAGUUUGUUUCGUGGUCACUAAAGAACGUUGAAGUAACCGCAGCUUACGGCACCUAAGGUUGACCGCCUGGGGGAGUACGGCCGCAAGGUUAAAACCUCAAAUGAAAUUGACCGGGGGCCCGCACAAGCGGUGGAGCAUGGUGGUUUAAUUCGAUGCAACGCG
rnacentral:rRNA from 1 species